rnacentral:lncRNA from 1 species
ACUACUGACUGAAAAAUAGAGUGAAUAUGCACAUGCACAAAGCCAGCUGUAUCUUUACUGCCUUCGAUGUGAGAACUAAAAAUCUCAGAUAGAGCUGCAAUCCUGUUUCCAGAGGAUCCCUCGGAAGAUCCCUGGAGUGCAGAAAAAGGAGACCACUAGAAACAGGGAGCAGUGUGGUGUUGAAAAGAGGUCAGAAAUGCUGUGCCUGUGAAAAAUCUCAAGAAAACCACUGAGUCAGGGAGCCCUGGAAGCUUAUGUCCCAAGGCUUUCCAGCAAAUGAGCCACCAAGCUGCUCCCUACUGAUCAGGCAGGAACAUCUCCUGGUAUAAGAACAUAUUUUUCUUUCCCUCCAGCUGAACCUUUGCCCAUCUUCAUGUAGCAGGCCUCACUUUAAUAGAGAGAUUAUUCCUUGUAUACUUUG